rnacentral:rRNA from 1 species
UACGUAGGUGGCGAGCGUUGUCCGGAAUUACUGGGUGUAAAGCGCGCGUAGGCGGGAGGCCAAGUCCGCUGUGAAAUCGCCCGGCUCAACUGGGCGCGGUCGGUGGAAACUGGUCACCUGGAGGACGGUAGAGGCGAGUGGAAUUCCCGGUGUAGUGGUGAAAUGCGUAGAGAUCGGGAGGAACACCAGUGGCGAAGGCGGCUCGCUGGGC